GAAUGUGAGGGCGAUCUGGCUGCGACAUCUGUCACCCCACUGAUCGCCAGGGUUGAUACGGCUAAUCUGGCUGGCUAGGCGGGUGUCCCCUUCCUCCCUAACCACUCCAUGUGCGUCCCUCCCGAAGCCGCGAGCGGUCGAAGAGGAUGGCCUUCCCCGAAUAGAGACGGACCGGUCUUUGGUCGAGGGUAUAUAAGUAGCUGCGCUCCCCUGCUAGAACCUCCAAACAAGCUCUCAAAUAUAGAUGCAGCUUCAUAGGCAAUACUGGAUGGUUGUUUUGUUUUUUUUUUUCUUCAGGCUAUGCACUCAUGAAGGAUGCUAUA
ensembl:misc_RNA 7SK 7SK RNA